AUUUUUUUUUAAACCAGACCUAUAGUCUGUGUCUGCAAGCAGAAGAAAGCGUGCACAGUGUAGCAUACCUUGGACAUUUGUCUGUACGGAUUACUAAACCUUUCCUCCAGAUUUUUUUUUUGGCACCUGCUUCGACUUUUUUUUCUAAUCAUUUAUAAUCCAACCGAACAAUACGGGUUCUAUCGUAUCCCACACCAUUAAUAUUGAAUUGCGUUUUUACUUUACAGAGUAUCAUUGGGGGUAUAUGAGUUUUGAAAUAUUCUGGCGUUUUUAACCGGACACAUUCUUAAAUUAUCGGACACGUUUUUGAGAUUGUAACAAUACAAAAAAGGUUAUUGUCUUAAGUCAGGAGUUUGGUAUUCAGUAGUUGGUUUUCAAGUUUGAAUGGUUUUACACUAGUCACUUUUGGGGCCCUUUACACCUUGCUGUUCGGUGAGAGCUCAUGCAGGCACGGUGUUGAAGACCGUACUUUGACCUAUAAUGGUUUACUUCUACAAAUUACGACUUAUAUGAACAGGAGACUUUUCUCAUUGGCAGUUAUACCACAUCUUCUUAUAUAUUAAUACAACACUGAGCCACCCAACCC
rnacentral:lncRNA from 1 species